GAUGAACGCUGGCGGCGUGCCUAAUACAUGCAAGUCGAACGCUUCACAUCGGUGAAGAGUGGCGAACGGGUGAGUAAUACAUAAGUAACCUGGCAUCUACAGGGGGAUAACUGAUGGAAACGUCAGCUAAGACCGCAUAGGUGUAGAGAUCGCAUGAACUCUAUAUGAAAAGUGCUACGGGACUGGUAGAUGAUGGACUUAUGGCGCAUUAGCUUGUUGGUAGGGUAACGGCCUACCAAGGCGACGAUGCGUAGCCGACCUGAGAGGGUGACCGGCCACACUGGGACUGAGACACGGCCCAGACUCCUACGGGAGGCAGCAGUAGGGAAUUUUCGGCAAUGGGGGAAACCCUGACCGAGCAACGCCGCGUGAAGGAAGAAGUAAUUCGUUAUGUAAACUUCUGUCAUAGAGGAAGAACGGUGGAUAUAGGGAAUGAUAUCCAAGUGACGGUACUCUAUAAGAAAGCCACGGCUAACUACGUGCCAGCAGCCGCGGUAAUACGUAGGUGGCGAGCGUUAUCCGGAAUUAUUGGGCGUAAAGAGGGAGCAGGCGGCACUAAGGGUCUGUGGUGAAAGAUCGAAGCUUAACUUCGGUAAGCCAUGGAAACCGUAGAGCUAGAGUGUGUGAGAGGAUCGUGGAAUUCCAUGUGUAGCGGUGAAAUGCGUAGAUAUAUGGAGGAACACCAGUGGCGAAGGCGACGAUCUGGCGCAUAACUGACGCUCAGUCCCGAAAGCGUGGGGAGCAAAUAGGAUUAGAUACCCUAGUAGUCCACGCCGUAAACGAUGAGUACUAAGUGUUGGGUGUCAAAGCUCAGUGCUGCAGUUAACGCAAUAAGUACUCCGCCUGAGUAGUACGUUCGCAAGAAUGAAACUCAAAGGAAUUGACGGGGGCCCGCACAAGCGGUGGAGCAUGUGGUUUAAUUCGAAGCAACGCGAAGAACCUUACCAGGUCUUGACAUCGAUCUAAAGGCUCCAGAGAUGGAGAGAUAGCUAUAGAGAAGACAGGUGGUGCAUGGUUGUCGUCAGCUCGUGUCGUGAGAUGUUGGGUUAAGUCCCGCAACGAGCGCAACCCCCGUUGCCAGUUGCCAGCAUUAAGUUGGGGACUCUGGCGAGACUGCCUGUGACAAGCCGGAGGAAGGCGGGGAUGACGUCAAAUCAUCAUGCCCCCUAUGACCUGGGCUACACACGUGCUACAAUGGACAGAGCAGAGGGAAGCGAAGCCGCGAGGUGGAGCGAAACCCAUAAAACUGUUCUCAGUUCGGACUGCAGUCUGCAACUCGACUGCACGAAGAUGGAAUCGCUAGUAAUCGCGAAUCAGCAUGUCGCGGUGAAUAAGUUCUCGGGCCUUGCACA
rnacentral:rRNA from 1 species